UACGUAGGGUGCAAGCGUUGUCCGGAAUUAUUGGGCGUAAAGAGCUCGUAGGCGGUCUGUCACGUCGGCUGUGAAAUCCCGAGGCUCAACCUCGGGUCUGCAGUCGAUACGGGCAAACUAGAGUAUUGCAGGGGAGACUGGAAUUCCUGGUGUAGCGGUGAAAAUGCGCAGAUAUCGGGAGGAACACCAAUGGCGAAGGCGGUUCUCUGGGCCUUACCUGACGCUGAGGAGCGAAAGCGUGGGGAGCAAACAGG
rnacentral:rRNA from 1 species